UAAUAAAAAUGAGAUUCGAACGGGGCCCACCUGGUCAGCUUUUUUUGGUCAUUUGUCUCCUCUCUUUACUCUCGUCUCUUCUCACGCCCCAAAUCCUCUCUACUGCUACAAAGAUCACACAGCUGCAGUGAACCCGGAACUCUCGACCCACCUCCAUACCUCCCUUCACCCAGCGCCAUUCCACCUCACCCCUCACGGACCCAACGCCAUUAAUCAACCGAACCGAAGGUCAUGCAUCUUCUACACACACCGCAUCACCAAUAACCCCUAUCAAUCACAGUAAUCCCUUUCUCACAAUUAAUUCGUCACCUAUGAAGCUCUGUUGUUAAGGAAAAUUGUUGCAUUCUCACACAGUCCGAAGGGCUUUCAGAUGGAACCCUUGCUCUCAUCCUCAUCCACCUCUCUCAUCCAUUACAAAGCAUCUGCUUCCUCCUCGACUUCGUCCCCUGCUUCGUCCUCUGCUUCCUCCUUUCACUGUGUUCCCUUACUGAUGGAUGAUUCCGAGGAUAAGAAGUGGCCUGAAGCAGUCGAGAAACACUUCAUUGAUAUCUUGUUAAAAGAGGACGUGAAAGGGAAUAUGCCUCAAGGCCAGUUCAAGACUGGAACUUGGCAAUAGUUAUGAAUGAGUUUAACAAGCAGUCAAGCACGCGAAUAAAAAUUACAAGAAGUCACAACUUACACAAAAAUAUCAAUGAAUGAAAGGUCAACACCGCACAUUCUCCCACCUCAUCGCACGUACAGGAAUGGGAUGAGACCCCAUUUCAAAUACGGUUACGACCAAUGAGGAAGCUUGGGCUGCUGCAUUUGCGGUCAAUCAUAAAUUCAAGAAGUUAAAGAAAAAGGGGCUAAGAUACUAUGAUCUGUUGGGGAGGCUUUUCAAUUCAAACACAACCACAAGUUUCCUCCAAAUUUUAUCUGCCAACCAGCUCCCAACAAUGACGAAGAGAGAGAGCUGGAUGCAGCCUUCCUAUCAUCGAGGGUGCAUGUCAACUUCAAUACCGAUAGUCUGGAUGAUGUGGAGGAGCUGCCCAUACCAAGUGAAGCCCAAAGCCAGAGGCAAGCUGAAAAGUGGCCAGCUAAACCAUCUCAGUCAAGCGGAAAAAGGAAGAAAAGGCACUCCCUUAAAAGCAUGACUGAAGCUGUUUGGGGGUUUACUGAAAUGAGGAACCGGAGGGGAAAAAGGUCCACUGAAACUGGAGACUUUGCUGUGGGGGGUGAUAGUGAGUCAGUUACAAAAGCUGUAAUACUGCUCAACUAGUACACUGAUGUGGAUCAUGUCACAUAUUGCAAGGUCAUGCAGGAGCUUCAUAACUUCAAGAGUAGAGCCACUUUUUUGCUAUGAUGGGCAAUAGGAGAAGUGCUUGGAUUGAGUUCAUUGGGGGUGGAUUGCAGUAGUUGUGGGGGUGGUUGAGAAUGUGAGCUGUUAUAAGGGCUAGUAGGAACUUAAUUAGUUUAGUUAUUUUGGUUUAAUGUGAAUAGGCAAACUCUGUAUUAUGUUUAUAUUUUGGACAAUGUGUGCAUGCUACCUUCCUUUAUUAUUACUAUAUAAUGCUUUGAACAUCUAUGCAAGUUAUGUAAGAAAUAUGGGAUUGCUUUGUUUUAGGAUUUGAACUUCUAUGCAAGUUAUGUAAGACAUAUGGGAUUAGUUUGCUUUAGGCUUUGUGCUGUUAAAUUGCAAUUGCUUUGUUGUGGCUUUGUGCUGUUUUGUUUGGUGACGUAUAUAUAUUUUAGAAAGUCAAAUGUGUUCUUUAUGCAAACACUUGCUGUUUUGUUGUGGCUUUGUUCACAAAAUCAGGUCUGUUGUUUAUGGAAUUCUUUAGGCAAACAUAUAACUUGCUGCUUUGUUGUGGCUUUCUUUAUGCAAACAUAAGUUGCUACUUUGUUGUGGAUUGCAAACAUAACUUCCUUUCUUUAUGCAAUUGCUUUGUUGU